AAGACUAUACUUUCAGGGAUCAUUUCUAUAGUUUGUUACUAGAGAAGUUUCUGAUUGUGUAGAACACCCGAAACCACAAGGAAGAGAUACAGCAUUCUCUUCUGAGCAUGAAGCCAGCUCUUGGUGUUGUUUCAGUAACUGCCAUUUGCCACUAAUGAUUGUUCUUUUUUCUCUCCUUGGAGAGAAUGAGAGGGAGAGAAUGCGGUCUGAGUGGA